UACAGAGGUGGCAAGCGUUGUUCGGAAUUACUGGGCGUAAAGGGCGCGUAGGCGGUUCGUUAAGUCCUGUGUGAAAUCCCCCGGCUCAACUGGGGAACUGCACAGGAAACUAGCGGGCUUGAGUUCGGGAGAGGGAAGCGGAAUUCCGGGUGUAGCGGUGAAAUGCGUAGGAUAUCCGGAGGAACACCGGUGGCGAAGGCGGCUUCCUGGACCGACACUGACGCUGAGG
rnacentral:rRNA from 1 species